UCUUAGCAACCGGAUUUGGUCCUAGUCCUUCUCUUGGUCCUCUCUAAAACGAUACAUGCGAGUUAAUUACAACACAGUGAGUAACAAUUAAAAGCUACUCUUAAAAGAAAUAGCUCUACCAAAACAAGGCAUCAGAAAAUAUCUCAGUUCAACAACGCCUAGCCAACCACACCUGCAGUACCUAACAUUAUACAAUAAGCAAAAGCUUGAUAUAGUUAUAGAAUUAAGAGUUGGUUAAUUAUGUGCCAGCCACCGCGGUUAUACAUAAAACUCAAACCAAGAAAACUCUCGGUCUAAAGGUGACUAGAGAAAACACCAUUUAGGGUAGAAAAAAACUCCAGUAUUAACAAGCUUCUAUAGUAAACUAAUCACAACUACAAUACCGCCCUAAACUCUUUAACUCAAAACACCAAAGCUCAAAAAUAAACUGGGAUUAGAUACCCCACUAUAUGAGCCGUAAAAUAUCAAUAACACCAGAGAACUACGAAUCAAAUUUAAAACUCAAAGGACUUGGCGGUUUUUAAGAUCUCCCUGGAGGAGCUUGCUAUCCAACCGAUAACCCACGAAAACCUUACCAGCA
rnacentral:rRNA from 1 species